CCGGCGCGGCAGCGGCAGACUCUCGGUCGCUCACUUGAUGUCCUCUCAUCCAGCGGCGGCACCGUGGACGGCGGGAGGACCGGCGGAGCAGCCGUGAGCGCCGCCCUCCUCGUUCACAUCUGGAGCUCGCGCUGCACGCCGGAGCUCUCCCCGUGAUGUGUGGCCGGGAUAACGCGUGACGUGAGCGGCCGCAGCAUCUCACCGGAGGACGCGUCGGUGCUGCCUGCGCCGGGCUGCUGGGGAACCGGGCUCGGGGUUUCGGAAGCUGGCAGGCGAAGGUAGAGGCAGCGAGCAUGGAUGAGCUGGGCAGCAGGAACAGCAGCCUGCAGCGGAAGAAGCCACCGUGGCUCAAACUGGACAUCCCCACCAUCCAGCUAACACCGGAUGACUCGGCCACACACACGCAGCCAGUAAAGCGCCUGCGCAGUGUCAGCAUGCCAGGGGAAAACCCUCAGACCUGCAUCGCUGCCUUGGAAACUUCAAACAACUACCUCAGACCUCCUCUGGAGAGACAGCCCUCCAUCACGCAGUCCAUCAAGAGUGACAAAAGGGUGCGCUUUGAGCGCGUCAACACAGUGCCCCCAAAGGGCCAGAGGAGUCCCAGGAGGGUGUCAGCCGUUCGGAGGCGGUCCUGCGUCCCCAAAAUACUGAGCCGACGGCGUUCGUCCAUACCCAAACAGAUCAUCAGGGGUACGGCCGACUGGUUCGGGGUGAGCAAAGACAGCGACAGCACCCAGCGAUGGAGGAGGAAGAGCCUGCAGCACUGCCGCCACCUGUACGGAGGUCUCAAGGCUCAGGUGAUGAGGGAAAUGGAGCUGCACAGCCAGGACAACCUCUCCCUGGCCAGCACUGAGACCCCUCCUCCCAUCUACCUCCCACCCCUCCACCCCAGUCACCACCACUAUGGCAUGCAGAGGAUCGUAGACCCCCUGGCCCGGGGUCGUGCCUUCCGCAUGGUGGAAGAGGUCGGCGGCUUCAGUGUCCCGCAAACUCCCCUCACGCCUGGCACCGCCUCCCUCUGCUCCUUUUCGAGCUCCCGCUCCGCCCUCAACCGGUUGCCACGACGACGCAAGCGGGAGUCUGUUGCUGUCAUGAGUCUCAAGGCUGCAGCGGCACUCAUGAAGGGCCGGACGUUGGGCGAGAGCACCGCUGGGCGACAUCGCAGGCGGAGUUUCAUGCCUCCCAGUUUCUUCGAAGAUGACACCGUGGACUUCUCUGAUGACCUGGACACUUCCUUCUUCACCAGAGACGGACUGCAGGAUGAGUUGUCGAGCUACGCAGACGAGGUUUUCGAAACGCCGUCAGAGGCCGCCCUCGACCAGCUGGAUGAGAGCGAGCUCACAGGAAGUGCGCUGGAUAAGAACGAACUGGAGAGGAGUCACCUCAUGCUGCCCUUGGAGCGCGGAUGGCGGAAGACGAAAGACGGCCCUCUGGUCCAACCUCAAGUGCGUCUGAAACAGGAGGUGGUAAGCGUCGGCAGCCAUCAGCAGCGGGGACACCGGAUCGUGGUUCCCGUCAAGAAGCUGUUUGCCCGAGAGAAGCGGCCGUACGGGCUCGGCAUGGUCGGACGCCUCACAAACCGGACGUACCGCAAGCGCAUCGACAGCUUCGUCAAGAGGCAGAUCGAGGACAUGGACGAUCACAGGCCUUUCUUCACAUACUGGAUCACAUUCGUCCAUUUGCUCAUCACCAUCCUGGCUGUGACCAUCUACGGCAUCGCCCCUGUGGGCUUCUCCCAACAUGAAACUGUUGACUCUGUGUUGAGGAACAAAGGAGUUUAUGAAAAUGUUAAGUUUGUGCAACAAGAAAACUUCUGGGUGGGUCCAAGCUCAGAGGCACUGAUCCACCUGGGAGCCAAGUUUUCCCCGUGCAUGCGUCGGGACCAAGAGAUCCAGAAGUUGAUCCAGGAGAAGAGAGCGAGAGAGAGCGAGUCCGGCUGCUGCGUGAGGAACGAUCGCUCCGGCUGCCUGCAGACGUUACAGGAGGAGUGUUCGAGCACCCUGGCAGUGUGGGUGAAGUGGCCUCAGCACCCCAGUGCUCCCCAUCUGAAUGGUGAUGUUCGGCAACAUGGUUCAGUCUGCCAUCAGGACCCCAGAAUUUGUCUGGAGCCAGCCUCCGUCUCACCUCACGAGUGGCCUGAUGACAUCACCAAGUGGCCCGUUUGCACAAGGUUCAACUCGGGGAACCACACCAACCUCCCCCACAUCGACUGCACCAUCACAGGCCGGCCCUGCUGCAUUGGGACCAAAGGACGAUGUGAAAUCACCUCCAGAGAGUACUGUGACUUUAUGCACGGCUACUUCCAUGAAGAGGCCACCCUCUGCUCACAGGUGGCUUGUAUGGAUGAUGUGUGUGGUUUGCUGCCUUUUCUCAACCCAGAUAUCCCAGACCAGUUCUCCAGACUCUGGCUGUCUCUCUUUCUUCAUGCUGGGAUCCUGCACUGCCUGGUGUCUGUGUUGUUCCAGAUGACCGUGCUGAGGGACAUCGAGAAGCUGGCCGGCUGGCUGAGAAUCUCCAUCGUCUACUUGCUGAGCGGCGUCACUGGCAACUUGGCCUCGGCCAUUUUUCUGCCUUACAGAGCAGAGGUGGGUCCGGCGGGCAGCCAGUUCGGCAUCCUGGCCUGUCUGUUUGUGGAGCUGUUUCAGAGCUGGCAGAUCCUUGAGCGACCGUGGUGGGCCUUUGCCAAGCUGCUGGCCAUCUCGGUCUUCUUCUUCUCCUUCGGUUUGCUUCCAUGGAUUGACAACUUUGCCCACAUCUGCGGCUUCAUAUCGGGAUUCUUCCUGUCCUUCGCCUUCCUGCCGUAUAUCAGCUUUGGCCGUUCUGAUAUGUUCCGUAAACGGGUCCAGAUCUGCGUCUUCCUGCUGGUCUUCAUGGCUCUGCUCUCCGCCUUGGCCGUCCUCUUCUACGUCUACCCCGUGAAGUGUGACUGGUGCGAGUACCUCACCUGCAUCCCGAUCACCGACAAGUUCUGCGAGAAGUACGACCUGAACGCGCACCUCCACUGAUUGUCAGCCCUUUUGAGAUGUCGGCUGGAAGUGUUGUUGCAGCCAAACAAACAGCAACUUGAGACUGAGCAGGAGCAUUUCUCCAGGAAUAAGGAAGAUAAUUUCAGGAUUUCAUGUGGAGGCUCCUGUGGCGCAAUCGGUCAGCGCGCGGUACUUAUAAGACAGUGACCUGCGGAGUGAUGCUGAGGUUGUGAGUUCGAGCCUCACCUGGAGCAGUGGAGUUUUACCAUGGUGGUUGAGCAGAACCGACUGAUCGGAAGACACAACUAUUAUCCAGUGUGACAACAACAAAGUCCACAGGCCUUUUGGUUUCACUCAGCAGCUGCCCAGAUUAAAUGUUGUCUCUCUUUCACAAAAAACUUCUGUCAGUCACGUUCAAACUAUAACAAGAUUAACGUUAAACCCACAAUAAUCACAUCAAAGUGGCACCAUUUACUAACUUCUUCAAAAUAAACUGUUCAAAACUA